UACGUAGGGGGCAAGCGUUGCCCGGAUUUAUUGGGCGUAAAGAGCGUGUAGGCGGCUUUACAGGUCCGUUGUGAAAACUCGAGGCUCAACCUCGAGACGCCGGUGGAAACCGUAAAGCUAGAGUCCGGAAGAGGAGAGUGGAAUUCCUGGUGUAGCGGUGAAAUGCGCAGAUAUCAGGAAGAACACCCGUGGCGAAGGCGGCUCUCUGGGACGGUACUGACGCUGAGACGCGAAAGCGUGGGGAGCGAACAGG
rnacentral:rRNA from 1 species